rnacentral:piRNA from 1 species
UGAAACCUCAUUUUUGAUGGCUGCUGUUU